rnacentral:rRNA from 1 species
CCGGCGACCGGGCGCACGGGUGAGUAACACGUAUGCAACCUGCCCUCUUCAGGGGGACAACCUUCCGAAAGGGAGGCUAAUCCCGCGUAUAUCGGUUUCGGGCAUCCGAGAUCGAGGAAAGAUUCAUCGGAAGAGGAUGGGCAUGCGGCGCAUUAGCUAGACGGCGGGGUAACGGCCCACCGUGGCGACGAUGCGUAGGGGUUCUGAGAGGAAGGUCCCCCACACUGGUACUGAGACACGGACCAGACUCCUACGGGAGGCAGCAG